rnacentral:rRNA from 1 species
UACAGAGGUCUCAAGCGUUGUUCGGAUUCAUUGGGCGUAAAGGGUGCGUAGGCGGCGCGGUAAGUCGGGUGUGAAAUCUCGGGGCUUAACUCCGAAACUGCAUUCGAUACUGCGGUGCUUUGAGGACUGGAGAGGAGACUGGAAUUUACGGUGUAGCAGUGAAAUGCGUAGAGAUCGUAAGGAAGACCAGUGGCGAAGGCGAGUUUCUGGACAGUAACUGACGCUGAGGCACGAAGGCCAGGGGAGCAAACGGG